rnacentral:sRNA from 1 species
ACCAACUAUCUUGUCCUGUGCAUGCUUUCCAUUUGGCUUUAGUUGAUGUUAACUUUUGACAGAUAACAAACGAGGAGAAACUUGAGGUUCCACUUCUGAUAGCAACUGAGG